UACAGAGGUCUCAAGCGUUGUUCGGAUUCAUUGGGCGUAAAGGGUGCGUAGGCGGCGCGGUAAGUCGGGUGUGAAAUCUUGGAGCUUAACUCCGAAACUGCAUUCGAUACUGCCGUGCUUGAGGACUGGAGAGGAGACUGGAAUUUACGGUGUAGCGGUGAAAUGCGUAGAUAUCGUAAGGAAGACCAGUGGCGAAGGCGGGUCUCUGGACCACAACUGACGCUGAUGCACGAAAGCUAGGGGAGCAAACAGG
rnacentral:rRNA from 1 species